rnacentral:rRNA from 1 species
GCAAAACGCGAAGAACCUUACCCACCUUUGACAUGUACGGAAUCCUUUAGAGAUAGAGGAGUGCUCGAAAGAGAGCCGUAACGCAGGUGCUGCAUGGCUGUCGUCAGCUCGUGUCGUGAGAUGUUGGGUUAAGUCCCGCAACGAGCGCAACCCUUGCCAUUAGUUGCUACAUUUAGUUGAGCACUCUAAUGGGACUGCCGGUGACAAACCGGAGGAAGGUGGGGAUGACGUCAAGUCCUCAUGGCCCUUAUAGGUGGGGCUACACACGUCAUACAAUGGCUGGUACAAAGGGUUGCCAACCCGCGAGGGGGAGCUAAUCCCAUAAAGCCAGUCGUAGUCCGGAUCGCAGUCUGCAACUCGACUGCGUGAAGUCGGAAUCGCUAGUAAUCGUGGAUCAGAAUGUCACGGUGAAUACGUUCCCGGGUCUUGUACACACCG